GACGUAGGUGGCGAACGUUAUCCGGAAUUAUUGGGCGUAAAGGGUGCGUAGGCGGCAUGAUAAGUUAUUGGCGGCAAAUCGAGGCUCAACCUCGUGGAAACUGAUAAUACUGUCUUGCUUGAGUGCAGAAGAGGUUAACGGAACUCCAUGUGGAGCGGUAAAAUGUGUAGAUAUAUGGAAGAACAUCAAUAACGGCGAAGGCAGUUAACUAUUCUGUUACUGACGUUGAGGCACGAAAGUGUGGGGAGCAAAAAGG
rnacentral:rRNA from 1 species